AAUUGAAAGAGGGAGAAAAUUUAUUAUUUUUUCAUAGACACAGAAAAGGAGAUAAAGUUUCUCCCAUUCUGGUUUUCUUCUUCUUCUUCCUGAUUCUUCUUCUUCUUCUUCUUCUUCUUCUUCCUCCUGAAGAGAAGAGAGUAACAUACUGUUAAUUGUUUGCGAGAAACGAUCUAAGAGUCGUGGUAAUUUGAUUGUUUCUUCAUUUCGAAGAUAACGAGUAAAAGAAGAAGAAUUAGGU
rnacentral:ribozyme from 13 species